UCGAGGGGCAGCAUGAACUUAGCUUGCUAAGUUUGAUGGCGACCGGCGCACGGGUGAGUAACACGUAUCCAACCUGCCGAUGACUCGGGGAUAGCCUUUCGAAAGAAAGAUUAAUACCCGAUGGCAUAGUUCUUCCGCAUGGUGGAACUAUUAAAGAAUUUCGGUUGUCGAUGGGGAUGCGUUCCAUUAGGCAGUAGGCGGGGUAACGGCCCACCUAGUCUUCGAUGGAUAGGGGUUCUGAGAGGAAGGUCCCCACAUUGGAACUGAGACACGGUCCAAACUCC
rnacentral:rRNA from 1 species